AAGGAAUGGCCCUUGUCGAUCCCACAGCUUGUGUGGAAAAAUAUCAUCACCAUCAUAAGCAUCAAUGAACACCAAAUCAUAGAUGUCAUGGCUGUUGAGUACAAAGUCCUCUGCAUCUGAUCUGUGAAGGAACAGCCGCUCAUGCAUGUGUUCCCACAAUACUUCGUCUGCAUAAGAAGAUUGAUCAAAGGAUAACUUAUCUGAUGUUUCUUUUACAGCAGAGGCAGGGAAGCCCAUUGCCUGAACAGAAGCCAUGACAACAACUGGAUCUAUCUCCACAAUGUGGACAGAAGCACCUGAAAAUAACAACAGAAAAUCUGAAUGCAUACUGUUAUAAGAGCUAUAUAUAACAUUUCAAGUUCAUUGUAGAAGAUUGACUAUUGCUGCCAUCAUGGUAUGUUGCUGGAAAGAAUCUUAACUUCAG
rnacentral:lncRNA from 1 species